AACUCUGAGCAGCGGAUCACUAGACUCACGGGUCGAUGAAGAACGCAGCCAGCUGAGAGAACUGGUCUGAGUUGCAAAACACAUUCACCAAUGAUUUUUUAAAUGCGCAUUACCUGUCAGAGGGUCA
rnacentral:rRNA from 1 species